rnacentral:rRNA from 1 species
GCAAGUCUAAGGUGCUCUUCGGAGUGCCUGGCAAACGGGAGAGUAACACAUUGGUAACCUUCCCCUAACUCAAGUAUAACCUCGUGAAAACGUGGACAAUCCUUGAUAGUCCGUAAUUUAAAUGAGAAUUUGUUUUACGGUAAAGAUUUAUCGGUUAGGGCUGGGCCUAUGGCUUAUCAGCUUGUUGGUGAGGUAAAAGCUUACCAAGGCUAUGACGAGUAGCGGGCGUGAGAGCGUGACC